GUUGUUCGGAAUUACUGGGCGUAAAGGGCGCGUAGGCGGCCUGUUAAGUCGAACGUGAAAUCCCCGGGCUCAACCCGGGAACUGCGUCCGAUACUGGCAGGCUUGAAUCCGGGAGAGGGAUGCGGAAUUCCAGGUGUAGCGGUGAAAUGCGUAGAUAUCUGGAGGAACACCGGUGGCGAAGGCGGCAUCCUGGACCGGCAUUGACGCUGAGGCGCGAAAGCCAGGGGAGCAAACGGG
rnacentral:rRNA from 1 species